rnacentral:rRNA from 1 species
UACGUAGGGGGCAAGCGUUGUCCGGAAUCAUUGGGCGUAAAGCGCGUGUAGGCGGUCCGGUAAGUCCGCUGUGAAAGUCGGGGGGCUCAACCCUCGGAUGCCGGUGGAUACUGUCGGGCUUGAGUACGGAAGAGGCGAGUGGAAUUCCUGGUGUAGCGGUGAAAUGCGCAGAUAUCAAGGAGGAACACCAAUUGCGAAGGCAGCUCGCUGGGACGUUACUGACGCUGAGACGCGAAAGCGUGGGGAGCAAACAGG